GAUGGCACUAGAAGAAACCAUCCUGAGCGAGGUAACGAAGUCACAAAAAGAGAAACAUGGCUCUGAAGGAGAGUUUGAGUAUGUCAACAUUUUCCUAUGAAGACAGCACAUACUUCCGCAAAGAGCAUCUCAUGGUUCCUGUAGAAACUAGAAAUGGAAGCCAUAUGACUUCAAAUGAUAUGAAUCUACAUCACAGCAUCAUUAAACUCUCAGCAUGGCACCUGCUCAAACUAGAUGUAAAGUCUACACUGUAAGGCUAUUAUGUCAUCCUAAUUUCAAGUGAGAAUCAGCAAUUCCUAAGACUUUACAACAAGGACUAUAAAGCCAGACAGUAUGAACUCAAAGGUCUCUUCUGUACCUUAAGAAUUGUAACACUCCGGGAAAUUGUCUGUCCUCUUUGUACCCCUUUUAUUUUAAAAAGAGACACAGGAUUAAUAAUGUUGUUAUGUGUAUAAUGUUUAAUGCAUCUUUAUUUAGUUUACUAUUAAAACUAAGGAACACAUAGCAUUAGAAUAUACAUCUCACCAUGUGAUAUCAGGAUAAUGACCAGUUUAAUAGACUAAUUUAUCCAGUG